rnacentral:rRNA from 1 species
CACGUAGGGCGCGAGCGUUGUCCGGAAUUAUUGGGCGUAAAGAGCUCGUAGGCGGCCUGUUGCGUCCGCUGUGAAAGCCCGGGCUUAACCCCGGGUCGGCAGUGGAUACGGGCAGGCUAGAGGUAGGUAGGGGAGAAUGGAAUUCCCGGUGUAGCGGUGAAAAUGCGCAGAUAUCGGGAGGAACACCGGUGGCGAAGGCGGUUCUCUGGGCCUUACCCUGACGCUGAGGAGCGAAAGCGUGGG